AGUGAACGCUGGCGGUAGGCCUAACACAUGCAAGUCGAACGGCAGCACAGGAGAGCUUGCUCUCUGGGUGGCGAGUGGCGGACGGGUGAGGAAUACAUCGGAAUCUACUCUGUCGUGGGGGAUAACGUAGGGAAACUUACGCUAAUACCGCAUACGACCUACGGGUGAAAGCAGGGGACCUUCGGGCCUUGCGCGAUUGAAUGAGCCGAUGUCGGAUUAGCUAGUUGGCGGGGUAAAGGCCCACCAAGGCGACGAUCCGUAGAUGGUCUGAGAGGAUGAUCAACCACACUGGAACUGGGACACGGUCCAGACUCCUACGGGAGGCAGCAGUGGGGAAUAUUGGACAAUGGGCGCAAGCCUGAUCCAGCCAUACCGCGUGGGUGAAGAAGGCCUUCGGGUUGUAAAGCCCUUUUGUUGGGAAAGAAAUCCAGCUGGCUAAUACCCGGUUGGGAUGACGGUACCCAAAGAAUAAGCACCGGCUAACUUCGUGCCAGCCGCCGCGGUAA
rnacentral:rRNA from 1 species